rnacentral:rRNA from 1 species
GACGAACGCUGGCGGCGUGCCUAACACAUGCAAGUCGAACGGGGUGAUUCCUUCGGGGAUCACUUAGUGGCGAACGGGUGAGUAACGCGUGAGGAACCUGCCUUUCAGUGGGGGACAACAGUUGGAAACGACUGCUAAUACCGCAUAAUGUUACCGGAUGGCAUCACCUGGUAACCAAAGCUUUAUGUGCUGAAAGAUGGCCUCGCGUCUGAUUAGCUAGUUGGUGAGGUAACGGCUCACCAAGGCGACGAUCAGUAGCCGGUCUGAGAGGAUGAACGGCCACAUUGGGACUGAGAUACAGCCCAGACUCCUACGGGAGGCAGCAGUGGGGAAUAUUGGGCAAUGGGGGAAACCCUGACCCAGCAACGCCGCGUGAAGGAAGAAGGCCUUCGGGUUGUAAACUUCUUUUAGCAGGGACGAAGAACGUGACGGUACCUGCAGAAAAAGCAACAGCUAACUACGUGCCAGCCGCCGCAGUAAAAC